UUCCCCGUUUGAUGUUCUGAUGAAUAUUGUUGUAGUAAAACGGUUCGCCAAAACCGUCUGAUUGCUUAAUUCACAGUCAAUUUACCACACAUUCUUCAAUUGGAACUGACAACGGGUUUUUCG
rnacentral:sRNA from 1 species